CGUAGGGUGCAAGCGUUAAUCGGAAUUACUGGGCGUAAAGCGUGCGCAGGCGGUUUUGUAAGACUGUCGUGAAAUCCCCGGGCGUCAACCUGGGAAUGGCGAUGGUGACUGCAAGGCUAGAGUUUGGCAGAGGGGGGUAGAAUUCCACGUGUAGCAGUGAAAUGCGUAGAUAUGUGGAGGAACACCGAUGGCGAAGGCAGCCCCCUGGGUCAAAACUGACGCUCAUGCACGAAAGCGUGGGGAGCAAACAGGAUUAGAUACCCUGGUAGUCCACGCCCUAAACGAUGUCUACUAGUUGUCGGGUCUUAAUUGACUUGGUAACGCAGCUAACGCGUGAAGUAGACCGCCUGGGGAGUACGGUCGCAAGAUUA
rnacentral:rRNA from 1 species